UUCAGCAAAACAAUCAUAAACGUCAAGAGAUACCGGCACCUACUAGAAUCCCAUUCAGUCAUUAAUAACGAUCCAGUCCAUCAUCAAAAGUAUCCAAUUGUCUUGUGUUUCAUUGUCACAUCUUCUUAAUCUCCUCUGGUCUGCGUGUUGGGGCUGGUCAUCGAGAGGACAUCACUGCCCAUUGACCAACCAAGCUGGACCCCAGUUGCUGGAGGCCCCUCACCGCCUGACCUACCCUUGGAAUGUUUGCUCUACACGUGGUUUCCACACACUGGGAGCUACUUCAAGGAUUGCAGCCUUGAGCUCUUGGGCUGCAGGACACCUGGAUGGCUGUGGGUCCUGAUCCUGAGGCUGACACCGCCAGGAUCUUAAGGGAUGGGGACUCUGCUCUCUGCAUCUUUUGAUAAAAACUGUUGGUCUUCAAAAAAAAAGCAAGGAUGGAGCCUUGAAAAAGCAAUCCAUCAGAAUGGUACACAUGAUUGAACCUCUGGGAAACCUCUAUGUAAACUUUUACAGUUGGUGGGUAGGUGUGCAGACCUCCUUACCCUGCAGUUACCCAAGACAAGCUUCCUUUGUAAGCUUCCUGGCUCAUUAAAACCUUUUAAACCA